GAUUACAUAUUUUUAUGAUAUACUGCUGUUUUACAUACUGUUAGUAUUACUAGUUGGACGGGUCUAUCUCGGCUAGCAAGUUUCCCUCAUCACUAUGAAGUCAAAGGUGGGGUAACUUUACUGCUGAACAACUUUUCUUCAGGGCAGGUUUUGAAUAAUCCAGGCACAUGAAAAAUUAACUCAAUGUGGAAAUGCAAAGACUUCUGUGUCACCAAAGCCAAGCGUUCUGAGCUUCUCAAGCAUUUUAAGCUUGAUCAUAGGCAUUUUGGACUUCGUCAUCCUUAUCCUUGGGUUUAUUCAGACUGUCCUUGUUCAUUUAAAACUUGGGAGUUCUCUGAAGAGCCACAAGGAGGCAUCCUCAACAUCCCUCUCAAAAAGAUGCAUUGACAACUUCUAAAUGCCUGUAGAGCAGUGGUUCUCAACUCUGGCCCGCGAGAUCCACUUUCCUGCCGAGUUUAGCACCAACUCUGAUUAAACAGCUGAAGAGGCUAAUCAGUGACUUCAGGAACAGACGCAUUCAACCUAAUGUUGGGCUGCGCAGAAUGUUUGGCUUAUCGCAUUAAAGUACAGCGAGAGCGAUUCAAAUGCGUACCGCACAAUCUGCACUUGAAUCUCUUUUGCGGUACUUAAAUGUCAUACGAUGACAGAUUUGCA